CCAAUUUGGAGAGUUUGAUCCUGGCUCAGGACGAACGCUGGCGGCGUGCCUAAUACAUGCAAGUCGAGCGGAUCUUAUCCUUCGGGAUAAGAUUAGCGGCGGACGGGUGAGUAACACGUAGGUAACCUGCCCGUAAGACUGGGAUAACAUUCGGAAACGAAUGCUAAUACCGGAUACACAGCUUGGU
rnacentral:rRNA from 1 species